UCGGAAGUAGUUUAUGAGAAUAUUGGUUUUGGAGGCCAAAGGAGCAUUUGUUUGAGUAUGUCUUCUGAA
rnacentral:tRNA from 1 species